UUCAUUGACACUUAAACAUUACCUAAGCCAAACAAAAUACUAAACCCUAUUCAACAAAACAAGCAAUGAGCAAAACAAUCAUUAAACCUACACAGAAAAGAAAAAGAUCAUCGGGAUAACAUUAAGAGUAACGGAACAAAGUAAGACACGAAUAAUCAUUCUCUUACUAUGUUUUUUUUCUUGGUGUUAGACGAAAAAUCCCACCCCCGAAUUUUAAAAAUUGUUUUGGGUCUUAAUGUGUGUGCCCGUGGGGCCCACGUGUUUUAGUCUUGUUCCUCCGGGGCCCAAGUAUAUCUCCCUCUCUUUCUUCCCUUUUCCCGUGCACCCUACACCUCUCUCAAAGCUCUGUCUUUGUCUCACGGUUCCCUCCCUCUCCCUCGCUGCACCCUCCCCUUCCUCGAGCUUCACACGACACACAUACGUACACACGGACAACAACCACUCACCACCGGUCCACCACCUGGACCUUGUUACCACGAAGCUCGGACCGAUGACCCUGAAGCUCAACAGUGGCGGAUGCCACUGUUCAUUGUCUCCCCGACUUGCAUCGUUGUAGGGGAGCUUCGAAGACACUUUUAACUUUCCCCUUUGGUUCCCAUAUUUCAAUUCUGAUCGUGUGGGUGUGGAUUGGACGACAAAACCACGAGGAAACAACUCGGAGGAGAAAAACCCAGAUUCCGGCGAAUACCCGUGGCUUUCAGGCCACUUUCCAGCCAACUCUGGCCACCACUCGCCUCGAAAUUGGACUUAUAAUCGAGGCAUACAAUCCUGGCAUCAAGGUACUCCUGCAUCGGCAUCUUCGAUUUUUCUUGGUGUAGGACCCAUCUUUUUAUUCAUUCAAUUUUAUAUUAUUUCUUUUUAAUAUUCUAGUUAGUCGUAUGUUCUGAACAUGUUCCUCAUUUGCGUAACAAUUAUAUUUAAACUUCUAUUAUUCUUAUUCAUAUUUUUAGUUCUUACCACUGCAUUCAAUAAAUGGCUUUCGUCACCUUCGGAUGUCUGCUAGCACAUGACCAUUCCGAUGUUCUACGAACAUCGGGAUCGGGGUGUGUCAUUAGAAAUGUUGAGAAUGAAUCUCACAUUGAUAAGAGUAAAGACCUUAUAUAUGCUUAUAUAGUUAUAUGUAGUUAGGUCAUACUCUAAAUUGCCAAUUAGUUUUACGGUGGAAUCUUAAUUUUCUUCAAAAAGCUACAGCUCUGAUGUAUAAAGUUCUUCCAUCGCCGGCAAUGGCAUUUAUUUAAGCAGGCUGAUCCACAACUUUCAAUACUAAGAGCAUGUUCAUAUUUGUUUAUUUUUAGGCAAUGAAUCGCUAUGUUUUUCUAGAAACUCGUCUCCCGUCCUAUUUAUAGUAGCAGCAUUCUGACACUGCGUACUAGUCCUUCUUGAACAGAACACACACCAGAAUAAAUCUGCAAGUCCCAAUCUCUCUGCCGGUUUGGCUCAAAGCCCUUCAAACAUUUGCAGCUGUUCAAGGAUGUGACAUUGCAACUGGAGAAAGCCCCACAAAAAGCAUGUACAAUUGUAUUGGCUGAGACCAAAACAUAGUACAUUGCUUGGGAGCCUCAAACCAUGUUAGUUGCUGAAUCUGCCCUGAGACAGACAUCAAACAUCGAGAUGCAAUUUUAUGAUUAUAACGUGAAUAGGUGAAAUAACUUUGAUUCUCAUUCGUAACAUAUCCAUAAUUGAACAUGUAAUUAAGCCUCAAUUCAGGAACCAAGUUGAAGAUUUCCGAACUUUCAUUCCAUGACCCGCUGGUCCAAUAUUGUUUACACCUAUUCCACAAUAAGAUAUCUCAAUUGCCUUCAUCUGGGGCUAGGGGCCAGCUCAAGAGAGUAGAGACCUGGUGCAGGAUUCGAAUCCAAUUAUUCUUGCAGGCCCAGCAGCCUUUCUGCUUGCCGAGAGCCCAUCAUCACCAACCCAUACUCUCGUCAAUAAAAGUUGAGUUUAACAUGAUCAGUG